UACAGGGGGGGCAAGCGUUGUUCGGAAUUACUGGGCGUAAAGGGCCAGUAGGCGGCCAACUAAGUCCGACGUGAAAUCCCCAGGCUUAACCUGGGAACUGCGUCGGAUACUGGAUGGCUUGAAUUCGGGAGAGGGAUGCAGAAUUCCAGGUGUAGCGGUGAAAUGCGUAGAUAUCUGGAGGAAUACCGGUGGCGAAGGCGGCAUCCUGGACCGACAUUGACGCUGAGGAGCGAAAGUGUGGGGAGCGAACAGG
rnacentral:rRNA from 1 species